AGCUUUGCACAGUGGCAGUAUCGUAGCCAGUGAGGUUUAUCUGAGACACAAUUAUUGCUAAUUGAAAACUUGG
rnacentral:snRNA from 1 species